rnacentral:miRNA from 1 species
ACGUUGGGUACGAAUAUCUACGGC